rnacentral:rRNA from 1 species
UGAGGAAUCUUGCGCAAUGGAGGAAACUCUGACGCAGCCACGCCGCGUGCAGGAAGACACCCCUCAGGGGCGUAAACUGCUUUUAUACGGGAAGAACACCCUACUCGGUAGGGUCUGACGGUACCGUAUGAAUAAGGACCGGCUAACUCCGUGCCAGCAGCCGCGGUAAUACGGAGGGUCCAAGCGUUGUCCGGAAUCACUGGGUGUAAAGGGUGUGUAGGCGGGCCUGCAAGUCAGAGGUGAAAGCCCCCGGCCUAACCGGGGAAUUGCCUUUGAGACUGCAGGUCUUGAGUCCUGGAGGGGUCACUAGAAUUCGUGGUGUAGCGGUGAAAUGCGUAGAUAUCACGAGGAAUACCAGAGGCGAAGGCGGGUGACUGGACAGGUACUGACGCUGAGGCACGAAAGCGUGGGGAGCAAACA